rnacentral:rRNA from 1 species
AGCUUAAGGAAAUAUAUCUUAAGUCAAACCUGCCCAAUGUAAGUAAGUAUGAAUGGCCGCGGUACUUUGACCGUGCUAAGGUAGCGAAAUCAAUUGGCUUUUAAUUGGAGUCAGGUAUGAAUGGAAUUACGUGGCUUAGCUGUCUCUUAAAUAAUUAUUCGAAAUUACUAUAUGGAUGAAAAAGUCCAGCAAAAAGAAAAAAGACGAGAAGACCCUUAGAAUUUACCUUAAAAUAGAUAUUAUUAAUGUGUCUUUUAUAGUUUAGUUGGGGCAACUUAAGAAAAAUUCAAUUUCUUUAAUUAUUACUAAUCGAUUAUAUAAAAUAUGUAUAAAUUACCUUAGGGAUAACAGCAUUAUCUAAAAAAUAAGUUUGUGACCUCGAUGUUGGACUGGGAAACUAUAAGGCUAGGCGUUUUGUAGGAAAGUUCUGUUCGGACUAAAAUUCCC